CUCAGAAGUACCUGCAAACUGACCCAGAAUUUUCGUUCUAAAGUGAACCUGACUUUCUCUAUAAGACAUCACUACAUUAACAGUUUCUCCUCGUUCCUUUUCCUUCCCUUAAGAAGUCAUAACAACCCACAAAUUUGCAGCAAAAAACCUAAAAGCCAUCCCUGACUUAAUGGAACCAGACUGAAGCUGUGAAUGUCGGUCUCAAAUUUCCUUCCAUGCAUCCUGCAAAUGUUUUAAGAUUUCCCCUUGAAUUAUGAGCAUGAAAAAUUCUGUAUAGGAAAUGACAAUCCUUUCUGUUUCCCCCAGGUGAACAAGUUCAUUACAGUGGAGAUUUCUGGGCACUUUGCAAUCACCUUGGUCUACAGAUGGCAUCCCCAAAGCCUAAAGCUAUCUCUGGCACCUGUAAAAUGCAAGUUUUUUCCUCCGUGCUUACCUAAGGUGCCAUUCCCUGAUGUCAGUCCCAUCUCCACAGAAGCCAGAGAGUUAUUCAAGGCCUAUAAAUGCAAGCAUCUGAAACCCACAACACAGGACAAAGAUGUAAGUGUGCAGUAGUCACUAUUUUGAGAUUGCAGGCAAAGGUAACUUUUAGUUUACACGUUAUU
rnacentral:lncRNA from 1 species